GCGAGGAGGAACCCUGUGGCCGAUCUACCAUUUCUCUUUAUGGCACCGAAUUCCGCUCACGCUCUCAAAACGAUCAGCACGAAGGGUCACCAAGACUUGACCGUCAGACCUGAUAAAACUCUUGACCCAAUCUGCGACCACUAUCAGUGGUUGGUUAAUUAUCAAGCAGGCGAUACCGUACGAGCGUAAAAACAAAAGUGUUCAACACCAAAGUGCUACAGAAGUAAUUUUGUGAAAUUUCAUCAUUAAUUGCGCCUGACCAACGACACAGCACAAAGGCUGAUUUCUGGGAUCUAGUGACGCGUUAACCCAAGAAGCGCAGUUGCGAGCAGGUCUGAUAGAGCAAUAAAAGCUUAGUGCAAAUGACUAAAAUGGUUCUUAUUCCGUGCGUUUAGAGCGAGGUCAAGUGAGGCUAGGCUGCGGCCGGAGCCGUACACCGCACAGCCCGUCUACGUCUACAAAAUGGCUGGGCCGCGUGUGAGGAUGCUGUAAACCCUGAUCGGGUAAAGAGAUCGGCCCUUCUUCUUUCUUCUUGUAUUAUUCCCACCAUACAAUGGACCUGCACAAACAAACUUCUGAUGGACGUCGCCGGAACGGAUGUCCGCCGAACUGGAGACGCCGGUUGGCACGCGAGCGCCCUCGAGGCCGAUCGAAGGCCGGGCUGACGCGGUUGCCAGGCUGCCGUUGAAGCUGGGUUGCCAUGGGUGCCGGAAGUGGCACAAAGGCGGCGCACACCUUCGUGGGAUACACUUUCACACUACUCUGACACUCACACACCUUAGAUUUAACCAUUAAUCCUUAGAUUUAGUUUUGGCCGGCGCAUUCGCCUUCUUUUUUUGGCCGGUUUUUGGCAUAUUGCCCCAUUUUCACGAUGAUCAUCCAAAAAGUUGAAUAUAUUUGAUUACAAAAGCGCUGAAUUUUUCCUAUUUCUUAAAUAAAAUUGCCGCAAGGCGGCGUGAUGAGUUCUAACAGUAAUUGUGAUUUGUAUUUUCUAAUUUUUUCGGUUUUGGGCGAUGACAAGGGGUGAAUUUCGAAGGAUCUUCAACCAGCGAACGCGAACCUCUCCAACUCGGGGCUGUGGAUAAGGAGCAGCGCAAUUCUGGUGAGUUGGUAAUUCUUUUGUUGUACAGUAUUCAUGCUUCAUAUUGGUUAGCU